CGCGAAUUCAAAGGGAUACCUGCACCCCUAUGUUUAUAGCAGCAUUAUUUACGAUAGCCAAGAUAUGGAAGCAGCCCAAGUGUCCAUGGACAGAUGAGUGGAUAAAGAAGAUGUGGUGGGUAUAUACAACAGGGCAUCAUUCAGCCAGACAAGAGAGUGAAGUCUUGCCAAUUGCAACAACCUGGAUGGAGCUGGCGACUAUAAUGAUGAGCAACGCACAACUCUACCUGGGUAUAAACUCCCAGGAGCAGAGCAGCCGGAUCGAAGGGUGCACACAUUUCCCUCUCUGAGAGAUGUUACAAAUCCCCCUCGGGGCCGGGCACAGCCCACAACCAGGAGUCUAGUCGUGCACCUCCCCCGGUUCUCAGGAAACGUUGUGAUCUCUGCCAAUCUGCCCGCCUACUUGCAAAGAAUCGUCAACCAACUUGCAACAUGGAGCUUCGAUACCGUCUGAAAAUAAGACCACCCCUCUGCUUGGGACGAAGGCUCCUUUCUUCAGCUGUUGCUUUCUUUUCGUCAUGGGGAAAGAGCCUAAAUGUCCAUCAACGGAUGAAUGGAGAAAGAAGGCGUGGUUUGCACGGGAUACUACGUGGCAAUGAGAAAGAAUGAAAUCUGGCUGUUUGUAGCCGCGUGGGCGGAACUGGAGAGGGUGAUGCUAAGUGCAAUAAGUCAGGCAGAGAAAAACAGGUCUUUUCAGCGGGUCAGGAGCUCCCUGAGGAGGCGGACAAAUGUUCUGCUCGAAUCUCCAGCGGGGUCGGGCACCCGGCUCGGUCCCUCCUUCCCGGUUGGUCUGUGCCGUGCUCCGUUGGGAUCCGGAAAAUCCCGCCUGGGUCUCUGGCGCUCUCAGCUGCUGUUGGGGGUGAAGGGGGUUCCCUGGGAGGGGGGAGGGGCUCUGCUCGAUGAAGGCGUCCUGGGCAGGUCAGCGGCCACUGCUGGGAAUUCUGCCCUUUGUCAACAUUCCAAGACGUACCUAGUGAGAACGUGUAAAGUCUAAUCAGGGAGCCACUCACUACGAUGAGCUACACGUCUAUCCAGUUCCUAAAGCACUCUUACUCUUUGAUCCCUCCCCUGCACUGACUCCAUCAUUUUCCAACAACCUCCCCGAGUUUUCACUUAGGCACCAGCCACCUUUUGGCCCCGGUGGCCUGAGUGGGUCCCUGGAGAUAGAGCACAUGACCCUGACCUUAACCAAUCAGCCCUUCGCAUUCCCCAGCCGCGGCUACUGGUUCGGGGGCGGGCACGUGACCAGACGCUGGUGCGAUCGGAAUGAGGUUCAGGUCUUUGGCGGAAAGUCCUAGGAAAGAAGCUCAGGUUUCCCCUCUAGACCUGAGCCUGAAGGCUGGUGAGCGGAGCUCCCCCCCUGUAGCAUCCGGGAGCCUGGGCACGAAGCCGAGGACUGGAGAGAAGCUUCGUCCUGAGGACGGCAAGGAGCCCCGGAUCCAGCUUUGCCUGAAGCUGGCCCUACUUCUGGAUCUUCCCGCGAUGAGAACCAAUAAAUUCUCUUUAUAUGUGGAAGCCCCAUCUGAGCCACGCACUGUUGUCUCCAAGUGUGUUCCAUUGCACUCCAGUUCGUGAGAUAAAUCAGCAACAAGGAAAUGUGUUUGUAGCAAAAUUCAUUUGGGAAAUCAGGUGUGUGUACCAUCAUCCCGCCCUGGAAAAUCGCCAGUGGACCGUAGCCUAUGAAAGGCUCUGACAAGUCCUGCAGUAGAGGCCUGGUUGACUGAAUGAUCGCGGAACUCAUUUCGGGUGGCUUACCCAGCCGCUGGAUGGAAUGAUGAGGCACGAGGCCAAUUGCGCAGAGGGUGACCACUCCCUGAAGUGUGGACAGGGGUCGCCUCGAGAAUGGUGGCGCUUUGGGCAUGGGUGCGUGAACCAGCCAAGUAAGCUGUGUGGUUCGGCCCCAGAAUAUUUAAAGCCUAAAGCAGAUCGUGAGAUCUCGGAGUUCAUCUGGUUUCAACACCUCAUGUUGUAGAGAAGGCCAGUGAGGUCCCUAGAGGGGAGCUGUGUUACUAUCACCGGUCCGGGUUCUUGGCUGUGCACCGUGACCAAUGCUGGAUAACCAAGGGGAAAGAGAUGUGAUGGUGGGGGGAAGGGGGGAUAUUAGGGAGCCCACCGAACCCACUGGAAGCCUAGAGAUCCAGGUUCAGAAAACAAGCAGGAGUCCAGAGAAGGUGGGCUGCUGAGGGCAUGGCCCGACCACGCUUCAGCUGGGGCCAUGAUGCACUAGAAAUUGACCCAGGGCUCUUAGGGUCACUCCCGGGGGGAAACAGCCGAUUGGCCAUGUGCCCCCCGCAGUGGUCAGGGUCUGGGAGAACAUGUCUGGCUGUUUUGGUGUCUGCAUCUGAAGCCUGGAGCCUGCCUCUCACCAAGACUCAUGAAGGAAGGAAGUGCCUCCAUUUGGUGGGGGACAGAGUGAGGCUUCAGAUCCUGUCUCCUAUCUCCCAGUUGACAUGAUGCAGCCAAGGGUACUCUCUCCGAUGCACGUUUAAAGUCUUGAUUUCACCAAUAAGUUGGACCUUGACGAAUUUCUACUUACCAUGGAGGAUAACAUUUUGAAAAUAUUUAAAACAUCCCCCUAUACCGUU